UGGGGAAUAUUGGACAAUGGGGGCAACCCUGAUCCAGCGACGCCGCGUGGGUGAAGAAGGCCUGCGGGUUGUAAAGCCCUUUCGGUGGGGAAGAAAAGUUGCGACCUAACACGUCGCGACCCUGACGUAACCCACUAAAGAAGCACCGGCUAACUCUGUGCCAGCAGCCGCGGUAAUACAGAGGGUGCGAGCGUUAAUCGGAAUUACUGGGCGUAAAGCGCGCGUAGGCGGCUUUGCAAGUCGGGUGUGAAAUCCCCAGGCCUAACCUGGGAACUGCAUUCGAGACUGCAUGGCUAGAGUAUCGGAGAGGGAAGUGGAAUUUCAGGUGUAGCGGUGAAAUGCGUAGAUAUCUGAAGGAACAUCAGUGGCGAAAGCGACUUCCUGGACGAAUACUGACGCUCAUGUGCGAAAGCGUGGGGAGCAAACA
rnacentral:rRNA from 1 species